GUCCUCCCGCCACGUCUCACCGCGGUCUCCGCCACCGCUACUUGAGUGACAGUCUCCCUCGGACAUCACCCAUUGAGCAAACUUUCCGCGCGUCUACUCUCCGAUUGGCUGCGGCCACUGCCACUCUGGGAACCCAAGCCAGUCCUGUUGGAGAAGGUGGGCUUUCCCCGGUUGUCAACAUCACGCCUGCCAAUCAAAUCGUACUGUCCCCUCCGAGGCCCGGCCCUGUUCCGGAAGCGGUUAGCCGUAGAAGACUAGAAGUUCAUUGGUGGAAGCGCGCAAAGCUCUGAGUCACAGAGCAGAACCGCGACUUUAACCUGAGCCUUCUGACCCUGCUGUGGCAUGCUUUGUACCUCAUAUCGGACUUGGGAGAAGAAAGAGAGAAAACUGCAAAGGUCAAAACUGGAGAUUUGAAUAUUCAGCUAAGGAAUUGGAACCUCGUGCAGCAGUUAAGGACACCCUGAAGAUUUUUGAGCAGAGGCGUGAAAGAAUGAGAGUUAUGGUUUAGGAAGAUGCAUCAGUCAGCGGUGUAUUCAAAAGAGUAGCAUCAAAGAUGAGAAGAGUAACUGGGAAGCUAUUGUCCCAUCAAAACUGUGAAGGGGGCAACAGGGGAUAAGGACACAUAUGUAAUACCUUAAUCAAUAAAGAAAAAGAAAACUGUGAAGAUUUUUUAAAGAUA